UGCCCGAGCAGGGGUCUUCUUCUUCAGCCAAUUUUUUAGCUACCAAACCCUCUUUCCAUUAGAAUUUUUUAUAUUUGAAAUAGCUUUCAAAUACAAAAAACCAAAAAAAAAAAAAAACAAACAGAAAAUACAAUAGAAAAUCCAAACACAAACACUGUUUCAUUGCCUUUCUUCAGGUACACUUGUACACCCUUGGUUGAUGAAAUGAGAUGAAGUUUAGAUCAAGCCUCUUCUGAUGCAUUGCCUGUUUAGUAGUUAGACUGCAGUUAUGGUCAGUUAUGCCUAGCUGUUUAGUUUAAUUUGACUGAGAUUGAUUUGAACUAUUUCUAAUUUAUAUGAACUGCCUAGAAAUUGAAUUGUAAUGAUGUAAUUAUAUUAACUUGGGACUGCUUAAGCUUGUGGAACUGUGGAAAUUUUUGUUGGCAACUGUUUCAUGUAUUGCAUAGUCAUUUAGUAACAGGUUUCCUUGAUUGAAAUCUGUUGAAAUGAUAAGGAAUGACUGAGAAAGCAGAAGUUAGUAUGCUGUAGUCAAUAAUUUGGUAGUUAAAUAGUCCAAGUAACUUAGAAAAAUGCAAAAACAUGUUGUAGUAAUUUCCAAAUGCCCAGUUGUUGUUAAGAAUUUGUUUAAAUCAUGUA